GUUUGUCGUCCAACAUUGUUUACGUGAUAUCCUUCCAUUUUCGUAAAUAUUUCUUUAAAACCUAUAACUAGUCUAGGAUUCAAGAUUAUUGACAGUUUUUCUUAAACAUGGAUCGCCCCAAUAGACAUUCAUGUAGUUUAAAUUAUUACAAAGAAACAUCAGACACUUCAAUUUUCAAAUUUGUCGAUUUUUGCAAUGAUUAUCUUCUAUGUACUAAAGAUUUUUUAGUAAACUAUCAUCUAAAUUUUCUCAAACUUCAAGAUAAAAAAAUAUUUGAACUCGUGCCUACCAAUUAUGACAUCAUAGUUGUGAAUGGUUUACUGUACGUAAGUUUUAAGUGAUAUAAUUGUAGUGAAACACCCUUUGACGAAGUUAUCAUCGAAUGACCAUGGCAACAAACAGAGCAAUGAUGGCGACGAGCAAAGGCGCCAGUGAGUCCCAAGACGGAAAUCUAUAAGUUACCAGGCCCAAAUUCAUAGGCCUGAAAAUAGUGCCGUGUGCAAGCCAAGAAUCAGAUAACUACAAUCAGGGUUCCUGAACAUACGAAUGCAACAGAAUCGACGAAUAAGAAAUGUACCCCUUUAAUCAAGUGGCGCCCCUACUAACCCAAGAUCAUGUAACCUAUGUUGGGAAUUUCCCCCCCACCCUUUGAAGAAUACGGAGAAAGAGAUUUCAAGGAAAACUCAGAACAAGUAAAGAGUUCAGUUGAUAUUCAUAACCUGCCUUGCCAUCAACUCCGGUUCAAUAAACCUCCCAUCAUACAGCAUUUUCCAUCAUGAUUUGCAUGUCCACGGGAAGAUUCACGAUAAUUUGUGAGGUAGCGACAGCACCAAAUGAUUUGGCCUCGACCUUCCAAAGUCCAAAGUCCAAUGCGUCCAAAGAGAGGAUGGACAAUUUGCAGCCAUCAAUUGAGGAGCCAAUCUCGAUACGAGGAUCCUGGUCACAAUUGAAAUCAACCAUGUACCAUGCGGCUUCGUCGGAACAAUAUUUUUUGCCCUGAGGACUGGAAUGAAAAUAAAAAAAACUCGUGAUUCGUUCGUGUGAA